GAUGAACGCUGGCGGCGUGCCUAAUACAUGCAAGUCGAGCGAACGGACGAGAAGCUUGCUUCUCUGAUGUUAGCGGCGGACGGGUGAGUAACACGUGGAUAACCUACCUAUAAAACUGGGAUAACUUCGGGAAACCGGAGCUAAUACCGGAUAAUAUUUUGAACCGCAUGGUUCAAAAGUGAAAGACGGUCUUGCUGUCACUUAUAGAUGGAUCCGCGCUGCAUUAGCUAGUUGGUAAGGUAACGGCUUACCAAGGCAACGAUGCAUAGCCGACCUGAGAGGGUGAUCGGCCACACUGGAGCUGAGACACGGUCCAGACUCCUACGGGAGGCAGCAGUAGGGAAUCUUCCGCAAUGGGCGAAAGCCUGACGGAGCAACGCCGCGUGAGUGAUGAAGGUCUUCGGAUCGUAAAACUCUGUUAUUAGGGAAGAACAUAUGUGUAAGUAACUGUGCACAUCUUGACGGUACCUAAUCAGAAAGCCACGGCUAACUACGUG
rnacentral:rRNA from 1 species